rnacentral:rRNA from 1 species
GGGCCCGCACAAGCGGUGGAGCAUGUGGUUUAAUUCGAAGCAACGCGAAGAACCUUACCAGUCCUUGACAUGGGUAGUUUGGAUUUUGGAGACAAUCUCCUUCAGUUCGGCUGGCUACCACACAGGUGCUGCACGGCUGUCGUCAGCUCGUGUCGUGAGAUGUUGGUUAAGUCCCGCAACGAGCGCAACCCUCAUCUUUAGUUGCCAUCAGUUCGGCUGGGCACUCUAGAGAAACUGCCUGCGAUGAGCAGGAGGAAGGCGGGGACGACGUCAAGUCAUCAUGGCCCUUAUGGACUGGGCUACACACGUGCUACAAUGGCGGUGACAAUGGGCAGCGACAGAGCGAUCUGAAG